GACAAAUCUAAUGUGUGUUUGUGUGUGUAUUUGUGUGUGUGUUUGUGUGUGUAUUUGUGAUUCAUUCUUAAUUUUGAGAGUGAUCAAGUUGGUAUUAUAAAUCGAGCCCCAUCUCGUUACGUCCAAUGCGAAAGCUGCUUUAGCCAAAGCGAAGCAUUUCUUAUGUGUUAUGGCCCUUACAUGUUAUAGACUGUUUGUAAACGUAAUAUUAUCACAAAAAAAAAUAACAUAUUAAAACAUGCGGAUAAAAUUAUUUAAUACGAAACGAAACAAUCUAUAAUUUUUUUUAAAAAAUAUGAAAAGCACGAAUGACGUCGUGGAAAAAAGCUGAAGCUGUUAUUGAAGUCGAUAAUACAAAGAUCUGUGCUCGGUGACUCCCUACCUCUGUACCCCUGGCUUCUGGCCGUUCCACAGAUAGUCUUCGAUGUAACGCUUGGGUCCGUCCUCGUGGUCUCCGUCGACGUGGUUCAUGAGAGGCUCUGCUUCCACUAAACCUGUAAAUCCACAGCAGCUUUCUUGAGUGCUCCCAUGGAGAUGCUCUUCCUCGGCACCACCUCAUCUUUAGGCCAUGCGAACUGGUUCCGGUACUCGGUGCUCACAGUCUCCGGCUCCUUCGCAGCCAGGACCUCACCCAAUGCUGUGGUCGCCUGAUUUAUUUGUGUCUGUCCAGCGUGGCUGGCGAGGACCUUCAGAUUUGCUUCGUCUCCCGGCACGCUCUGAAUCAUUUCUCUGAGCACUCUGUGAUAAUAUUAAGGACAUUCGUAUUUGACCAAUUAACCUACGUGCAAAUUAGUGGCAUCUAUAUUAACAGUAAAAAGUUAUGGGCGCAGAUAGCUCUUAACAACUUUUAUAAUGUGUCUGAAAACAAUUUCCAUGUAUAAUGAUAAAGAUAUGAUAAAAGAUAAAGAAAGAAACGUAUACUGCCGGGAAAGUGUCUUCAUAAGUCAAAAUAUAAAAAAAUAUAUAUGUAUUUUAUAAAAGAUAUUGAUAAAGAAUUGUGAUAAUUUACAUGUUAAUUUCAUUAAAUAUAUCAUUAAAUAUUAUAUCUACAUAUGAUCUUAAUAAGAAUGAGCUAUUUGUAAAAUAAAUUAAAAAAUAAAAUGAAUUCUUUGUCCUGAAGAAGAAAUAUUGGCUGUAGGAAACGGAUGUCAUUAGACAGCGCUUUAAGGAAGAAAGGAACAUUUCCGGAGUGAGAGAAUUAACAAAGCUCUGGAAUAACAGGACAUAGAAUACGAUAUGUGACUGACCCGUGCG